GACGAACGCUGGCGGCGUGCUUAACACAUGCAAGUCGAACGGAAAGGCCCUGCUUUUGUGGGGUGCUCGAGUGGCGAACGGGUGAGUAACACGUGAGUAACCUGCCCUUGACUUUGGGAUAACAUCAGGAAACUGGGGCUAAUACCGGAUAGGAGCUCCUGCUGCAUGGUGGGGGUUGGAAAGUUUCGGCGGUUGGGGAUGGACUCGCGGCUUAUCAGCUUGUUGGUGGGGUAGUGGCUUACCAAGGCUUUGACGGGUAGCCGGCCUGAGAGGGUGACCGGCCACAUUGGGACUGAGAUACGGCCCAGACUCCUACGGGAGGCAGCAGUGGGGAAUAUUGCACAAUGGGCGGAAGCCUGAUGCAGCAACGCCGCGUGCGGGAUGACGGCCUUCGGGUUGUAAACCGCUUACGCCUGUGACGAAGCGUGAGUGACGGUAAUGGGUAAAGAAGCACCGGCUAACUACGUG
rnacentral:rRNA from 1 species